GUGGGGAAUCUUCCGCAAUGGACGAAAGUCUGACGGAGCGACGCCGCGUGAGUGAAGAAGGCCUUCGGGUCGUAAAGCUCUGUCAUCAGGGACGAACGGCCGGUGGAGUGGAAAGCCACCGGAUUGACGGUACCUGAGAAGGAAGCCACGGCUAACUACGUGCCAGCAGCCGCGGUAAUACGUAGGUGGCAAGCGUUGUCCGGAAUUAUUGGGCGUAAAGCGCGCGCAGGUGGGAUCUUAAGUCCAUUUUGAAAGUUCGGAGCUCAACUCCGUGAUGGGAUGGAAACUGGGAUUCUUGAGUACCGGAGAGGAAAGCGGAAUUCCCCGUGUAGCGGUGAAAUGCGUAGAUAUGGGGAGGAACACCAGUGGCGAAGGCGGCUUUCUGGACGGUGUCUGACACUGAGGCGCGAAAGCCAGGGGAGCGAACGGGAUUAGAAACCCCGGUAGUCC
rnacentral:rRNA from 1 species